rnacentral:rRNA from 1 species
UACGAGUGCCUCAAGCGUUAUCCGGAAUUACUGGGCGUAAAGGGUGUGUAGGUGGUUUUGUUAGUCUUCUGUUAAAGCUUCGGGCUUAACCCCGAAAAAAUGCAGGGGGAUACGGCAAAUCUAGAGGAUGCAAGAGGUGUGCGGAACUCAUGGUGUAGGGGGUGAAAAUCCGUUUGAUAUCAUGGGGGAACACCAAAAAGCGAAGGCAGCACACUGGUGCAUUCCUGACACUGAAAACACGAAAAGCGUGGGUAGCGAAUGGGGAUUAGAAAACCCCGAGU